UAUUGUGUAAUGCAUUUACAUUAAUAAACAACAAGGUUAAUCAACAAGGUGCAUCAGAGGAUUUGAAGUUUUCAGUUUUCCAUAAAGUUUAGGUGCAAUGGAUGAAAGCCACAUUGAAAUAAAACCAGAAUCUCAGAAUGGUGUUAACUACUACAACUACAAAGGGUGGUACUCGAUCAUUUUGUUUGCCCUCGUAGAUAAUAGAUACCGUUUUUUUAUAUAAAUGCUGGAUAUCCUGGAAAACUCAUCACUAAAGAGACAGUUAGAAAAUUAUAUUGCUUUAGAGGACAAAAGCAGGGUGAUUAAUGAUGUCGGAAUACCCGUCUUGAUUCUCGAUGAUUCUGCGUUAUACGAUUCUGCUGUGUUCUUCACAACUUUUUAAAUGAAAACAGUGAUGUGCUGAAAAAAAGUUGGUUAUGCGCUCUGAAAAAACAACAGCUAGUUUUAGAACGACAGCAACUACAAUUUUCAUUAUUAAAUGACGGCGAUCUAAAUG